AUUGAACGCUGGCGGCAUGCUUUACACAUGCAAGUCGGACGGCAGCGGGGUAGUGCUUGCACUACUGCCGGCGAGUGGCGAACGGGUGAGUAAUAUAUUGGAACGUACCGAGUAAUGGGGGAUAACCAAUCGAAAGAUUGGCUAAUACCGCAUACGCUCUGAGGAGGAAAGCAGGGGACCUUCGGGCCUUGCGUUAUUCGAGCGGCCAAUAUCUGAUUAGCUAGUUGGUGGGGUAAGGGCCUACCAAGGCGACGAUCAGUAGCGGGUCUGAGAGGAUGAUCCGCCACACCGGGACUGAGACACGGCCCAGACUCCUACGGGAGGCAGCAGUGGGGAAUUUUGGACAAUGGGCGCAAGCCUGAUCCAGCCAUGCCGCGUGUCUGAAGAAGGCCUUCGGGUUGUAAAGGACUUUUGUUAGGGAAGAAAAAGGAGCGGUUAAUACCCGUUUCUGCUGACGGUACCUAAAGAAUAAGCACCGGCUAACUACGUG
rnacentral:rRNA from 1 species